GAUGAACGCUGGCGGCGUGCCUAAUACAUGCAAGUCGAGCGAACGGACGAGAAGCUUGCUUCUCUGAUGUUAGCGGCGGACGGGUGAGUAACACGUGUAUAACCUACCUAUAAGACUGGUAUAACUUCGGGAAACCGGAGCUAAUACCGGAUAAUAUUUUGAACCGCAUGGUUCAAAAGUGAAAGACGGUCUUGCUGGCACGUAUAGAUGGAUCCCCGCUGCAUUAGCUAGUUGGUAAGGUAACGGCUCACCAAGGCAACGAUGCAUAGCCGACCUGAGAGGGUGAUCGGCCACACGGGAGCUGAGCCACGGUCAAGACUCCUAAGGGAGGCAGCAGUAGGGAAUCUUCCGCAGUGGGCGAAAGCCUGACGGAGCAACGCCGAGUGAGUGAUGACGGUCUUCGGAUCGUAAAACUCUGUUAUUAGGGAAGAACAUCUGUGUAAGUAACUGUGCACAGAUUGACGGUACCUAAUCAGAAAGCCACGGCUAACUACGUG
rnacentral:rRNA from 1 species